rnacentral:rRNA from 1 species
AUUGAACGCUGGCGGCAUGCCUUACACAUGCAAGUCGAACGGCAGCACGGGAGCAAUCCUGGUGGCGAGUGGCGAACGGGUGAGUAAUAUAUCGGAACGUGCCCAGUCGUGGGGAUAACGUAGCGAAAGCUACGCUAAUACCGCAUACGAUCUAUGGAUGAAAGCGGGGGAUCGCAAGACCUCGCGCGAUUGGAGCGGCCGAUAUCAGAUUAGGUAGUUGGUGAGGUAAAGGCUCACCAAGCCGACGAUCUGUAGCUGGUCUGAGAGGACGACCAGCCACACUGGGACUGAGACACGGCCCAGACUCCUACGGGAGGCAGCAGUGGGGAAUUUUGGACAAUGGGCGCAAGCCUGAUCCAGCAAUGCCGCGUGCAGGAUGAAGGGCCUUCGGGUU